AUUGAACGCUGGCGGCAGGCUUAACACAUGCCAGUCGAACGAGUGGCGGACGGGUGCGUAAUGCUUGGGAAUCUAGCUUAUGGAGGGGGAUAACUACGGGAAACUGUAGCUAAUACCGCGUACCAUAGGAUGAGCCCAAGUGGGAUUAGGUAGUUGGUGAGGUAAAGGCUCACCAAGCCGACGAUCUCUAGCUGGUCUGAGAGGAUGACCAGCCACACGUGGACGUAGACACGGCCCAGACUCCUACGGGAGGCAGCAGUGGGGAAUAAUGCGCAAUGGGGGCAACCUGAAGCAGCCAUGCCGCGUGAAUGAAGAAGGCCUUCGGGUUGUAAAGUUCUUUCGGUAGCGAGGCGUUAACUACAGAAGAAGCACCAGCUAACUCCGUGCCAGCAGCCGCGGUAAUAC
rnacentral:rRNA from 1 species